rnacentral:pre_miRNA from 1 species
AAUAAGAUCAUUUUUCAGUUUUUUAUAUAAUGUUUUGACUCUUCGUCUUAUUUAAAUUUUUUUGCAAUUAAUAUUUUUAUUCUUACCAGGUGAUAAAACAUGAAUAAUACUUUAUGCGUGACUAAUUUUUUUAAUCUUUUAUACAAAUUUUUCAAAUAAAACGAACGGUCCAACGUUGGACAUGGAAAAAC